rnacentral:tRNA from 1 species
GUGGGUGUAGCUCAGUGGUAGAGCACAUGCUUAGCAGGUCCUGGGUUCAAUCCCCAGUACCUCCA